CACAAUGGGAGCUCCCGGGGCAGGUGCGGUCCAGGGGCUCCCACCAAGCCAUGGUGCCUUGACCAAGAUGCUGCACCCGUUGGACUCCUGGAGCUAUCUCCGGACCACAGGUUAGCUGCGGACUGCAGGCUAAGAGGUUCGGAGCCUGGAGGUCAGAGGACAGCCUUCUGGGUGGGAAUCUGGCACCAGGAGAGUCAGCAGAGCUGCCAGGUAGCUUCUGCCCAAGGAUGUGAAUUGUUGCAUGCCUACCUAAUCUCUGAAAGGGAAUGCCCGCCCGCCCAGCCCCGCGGACCAUGGUGCUGCCUAGCAGAGGAAGAACCUAGCGGAAGACCCCAGCCAUGUGCAUGGCCACCUUUGUGAUAGUGCUCUCCACCACUUACUACUUCUUGAUGACUGACCGGUUCCAUUCUGAGCUAAUCGCCUCCACCCAGUUCCUUGGCCCCCUGGCUGCCCCUCUCCUCGAUGUGCUGCGCAUCACCUCCGAUCUCGGGCGCCACAUCGUCUACUUAUUCAUCUCUGGUGCACUUGCCUUGCUGCUCUCUACGAUCUCCUCGUGGGUGCAGGAAAAGGUGCUGGAGGAGACCAAGAACAUGGGCUUUUCCUUAGGGUCGUGAAAUCAGCAGGGCUUGGAAUCAGCCCCGUUGCAAAACAAGACAACGUGGGAGCUUUCUAUUUGCCCCUAAACACUGCAAUAAACAUGCCUCCCCC